GGGCGCAUAGCUCAGCGGGAGAGCGUUCCCUUCACACGGGAAAGGUCCAAGGUUCGAUCCCUUGUGCGCCCACCA
rnacentral:tRNA from 1 species